rnacentral:SRP_RNA from 1 species
GUCCAGGCGCUAUGCAAAAAGCCGCUUUCAAACCCCGUCAGGUCCGGAAGGAAGCAGCGGUAGAUUGCCGGUUUUUGUGCCGUAGUUUGCCUGGCCUCU